rnacentral:tRNA from 1 species
GCCACGGUGGCGAAACUGGUAGACGCGCUGGAUUCAAAAUCCAGUUGGGGCAACUCAGUGCCGGUUCGAUUCCGGCCCGUGGUA